CCUACGGGUGGCUGCAGUGGGGGAUAUUGCACAAUGGGAGAAACCCUGAUGCAGCGACGCCGCGUGUGGGAAGACGGUCCUCUGGGUUGUAAACCACUGUCCCCAGGGACGAAGAUGACGGUACCUGGGUAGGAAGCUCCGGCUAACUACGUACCAGCAGCCGCGGUAAUACGUAGGGAGCGAGCGUUGUCCGGAAUUCCUGGGUGUAAAGGGAGCGUAGGCGGGACUGCAAGUUGGGUGUCAAAUCUACCGGCUCAACCGGUAGCCGCACUUAAAACUGGAGUUCUUGAGUGAAGUAGAGGUAGGCGGAAUGCCGAGUGUAGCGGUGAAAUGCGUAGAUAUUAGGAGGAACACCAGUGGCGAAGGCGGCCUGCUGG
rnacentral:rRNA from 1 species